rnacentral:rRNA from 1 species
UACGUAGGGUGCGAGCGUUGUCCGGAAUUAUUGGGCGUAAAGGGCUCGUAGGCGGUUUGUCGCGUCGGGAGUGAAAACCCCAGGGCUUAACCCUGGGCUGGCUUCCGAUACGGGCAGACUAGAGGUAUGCAGGGGAGAACGGAAUUCCUGGUGUAGCGGUGAAAUGCGCAGAUAUCAGGAGGAACACCGGUGGCGAAGGCGGGUCUCUGGGCAACAACUGACGCUGAGGAGCGAAAGCAUGGGGAGCGAACAGG